UACAGGGGGGGCAAGCGUUGUUCGGAGUUACUGGGCGUAAAGGGUGUGUAGACGGUUCUUUAAGUUUGGUGUGAAAUCUCCCGGCUCAACCGGGAGGGUGCGCCGAAUACUGAGGGACUCGAGUGCGGGAGAGGAAAGUGGAAUUCCUGGUGUAGCGGUGAAAUGCGUAGAUAUCAGGAGGAACACCGGUGGUGUAGACGGCUUUCUGGACCGUAACUGACGCUGAGACACGAAAGCGUGGGUAGCAAACAGG
rnacentral:rRNA from 1 species